rnacentral:rRNA from 1 species
UGGGGGAUAUUGCACAAUGGGCGAAAGCCUGAUGCAGCGACGCCGCGUGGGGGAUGAAGGCCUUCGGGUUGUAAACUUCUUUUGCUCUGAACAAGGCAUGCUAAUGGGUGUGUUGAGUGUAGGGGUUGAUUAGCGCCGGCUAACUACGUGCCAGCAGCCGCGGUAAUACGUAGGGCGCGAGCGUUGUCCGGAAUUAUUGGGCGUAAAGGGCUCGUAGGUGGCUGGUUGCGUCUGUCGUGAAAGCUCAUGGCUUAACUGUGGGUUUGCGGUGGGUACGGGCUGGCUUGAGUGCAGUAGGGGAGGCUGGAAUUCCUGGUGUAGCGGUGGAAUGCGCAGAUAUCAGGAGGAAUACCGGUGGCGAAGGCGGGUCUCUGGGCUGUUACUGACACUGAGGAGCGAAAGCAUGGGGAGCGAACAGG